UACAGAGGUGCCAAGCGUUAGGCGGAAUCACUGGGCUUAAAGCGUGUGUAGGCGGAUCGUUAAGUACCUUGUGAAAUCCCACGGCUCAACCGUGGAACUGCUGGGUAUACUGGCGGUCUUGAGCCACCUAGGGGCGAGCGGAACAAGCGGUGGAGCGGUGAAAUGCGUAGAUAUCGCUUGGAACGCCAACGGUGAAAACAGCUCGCUGGGGGUGUGCUGACGCUGAGACACGAAAGCCAGGGGAGCGAACGGG
rnacentral:rRNA from 1 species